GGUCGGAUGGUGUAGUUGGUUAUCACGUCAGUCUAACACACUGAAGGUCUCCCGGUUCAAGCCCGGGUCUGAUCA